rnacentral:lncRNA from 1 species
AAAGAAGCCAUUGUAGACUAGAUAUUUAUUACAAAGAGGUCUUUUACCUAACAAACCACACAAGAAUGCAACAAAAAUUCUGCCAACAUUUUUGGCUUCUCUGCUUAAAAGAGCAACUCAUUUUGACUAACAAUACUUUUAAAACUUGAAGUCUCUUAAGAAGUCAUCCAAAUUUUUCUAGCAAAUAUUCAAUUGGUUUGCCUCAAGUGUUGCCUUAUUCACUAAAUCUAAAGUAAAGUGUCAGAUUAAAAGUAUUUAUUCUUUGCUGAUACUUAAGCUGAAAGUUUACUAAAAAUCACACCUACCCUAAUACCAAAAAAUAACAUAUUAAGCUAUCCCGGGUUCACAGUAAGCUCUUAUAUUUGCCAAGUUGAACAUGUACAUUCAAAUGUCACGUAUGAGCAAAUAGCAGCUGGGAAUCAUAAUCAUAUAUGUCACUUAGAUGAAAACAAUUGCCUUUUUCCUACUCUGGCAAUAUUUCAAAGAAAUUCAAAAUACUAUCCUGAAAAGACAUGCAUUUAUUUUGAUAGAAGAGAACUUUCAGUUCUUUCUUUCCGACUUUUGGAAUUGUAAAGAGCCCUUUUAUAAUGGCAAGUUAGCUCAAAGAAAUAAUAAUAACCUCAAAGAAAGGAGCAAAUUUACCACUUAGCUUGCUCUCUAAGAGUGUGCACUUAACAGUUACCUUACCUUCAAGUUAAUAGAUAUAAUUUAUAAAUGACAAAAAUUGCCCUUGUCUUCAGAUCACUGAUAAAAAUUAUAGUCUUUAUAAACAUAGCAUAUAAUUUUGACUGAGAGGGAAAUCUUUCUUGUGUAUAUUUUCAGCAGUGUGUUCCAAAUCUAAAUUCAAUCAUUUCUAUUUUUUGAUGCUAAAUGUAAUCAGCAGAUAGCUGAAAUAUUUUUUGCAACCCUCAGCCAUAUAUUUAUUGUAACAGGGAUUACAAUUGUGUGCUGGGUCAUUUAUCUAUAUUUUUUUUUCCUUUGGGGGUUCAUUGUUGCUUUUCUUUGUCCCAUCACUGUUUCCUUUGUGACAAAGUGCUAAUUAUUCAUGAAAGGUAGAAGAGUAAAGAAGACAAUAGAAAAAAAAACUAGAAUAAUACUAUGCAUUUUGUUCCAAAUGAAAAACCAAUGUAAUAACCUGUAUUUGGUUUCUGAAGUAUAAAAUAGUAUCUUACAAAUGAAAGAUAUUGUUAAAUCUCUUCACAAUGAAUUUUGCUCCCAUUUUUGUUUUUAAAUAAUUUCAAAGAUAACAUAUUUUAGAGAGCAAGGUAAGACAGAAUAGCAAGACCUAAAACAAAACAUGAAAAAAAUGCAUGACCUCUCUCAAGUAAAAUUCAAAUCUAAUUCAAAGAAUCACCUUUCAUUUUGCCUUCUAAAUAUGCCUAGCAUUUGAAAUCAUAACAUUUCUCACCAAUGUGAUAUUGUGGAGAUGAUUCCUUAUCAAAAGUGAAAGUGUUGCAUCUAUAAAGCAGCCAAUUUGUUUUUUAUAACUGUGAUAUAUGUGACAAACCAAAUAUUUGUUUUUCAUUUAAAAGUCAAGAGUAUGGAUAGUCAGCUUCAGUGAUUUUUGUUAUCAGAUCCACAAAACAAUACAUUUCUUAUUGGAGCUUUGCAAAUAUACACAAACAGGACAGUCAAUAACUUCUGUAGAGUUCAGUUGCCCACAAGUAUAGAUGGAUCCAUCUGGUCAUUGAACAACAGAUCACUUUGUCUAUGCCAAGAAUCUGCUCUGUAAAUAUAAUAUUUCAGAUGUUACAAAAAAAACAAGGGACCAACAUUUUAGAUAAUUUUGUUAUAAAAAAGAGAAUCAGAAGAUAUUAGAAAAAGAAAGGACUGAUAUUUCAGACCAUGUCUUUCAACCCCCUUCAUUUAUGGACAGAAAGCUAUGAAAAAAGAAUAGCUCAUAAUAGAAAAAAAAAUUAGGGAUACUACUGAGACAAAAACUCAGAAUGCAGUCCAGUAUAUUUGAGCCUUUGGGAGCUUCUAAAGGACAUGAUGGUUUGUGGAGUACUUGUUUCAUGUUCUGCAAUCACUAUUGUAUACCUUUUCAAAUAGUCCCC